rnacentral:rRNA from 1 species
AUGGACGCGCCGCGGCCACGGUCGCCUCCUCCUCUGUUCAUGCCAACCGCGCCUUCCCCACCACCACGGCCACCGCUAUCCUCCUCGCCCUCCCUCGACUUCUCCUUCUCCUUCUCUCCGUUCCCUCCAUCGCCUCCACCUUCUCACGUCCACCCCCGCGUCCUUCCGCUUCCGGCCGCCGUCGACAUGUCCAGGAGACCCAUCGGCCGCGUCGGCAGCGACAUCAGCCAUAACAACUACGCCAAAGCCAACCAUCGUCAAGCCACGAGCCACAGCAGCUGCAGCAGCGAUGACAGGGACAGGGCCAAGGCCAGGGCGUCGCCUUUCUUUCCCGGCCUCGGCGGCGCGUGGAGAUCAGGCGAGGGCAGAGACGACACGGCCGGCAAGGCCGAGGAGGACAGGAAGAAGGUGAAGGGGAAGAGAGGGCCGCUGGAGGUGGGCCAGCGGGUGAAGAAGUACAUGGCGUCGCUGGUGGAGCAGCUGCUCGCCUCCUUCUCCAGGCACGGCGAGCGGGACAGGCGGGGGCAGCGGCGGAGGCCGCACACGUUCUCGGUGAGCGGGCCGGGCGCCGCCGCGACGAUGGAGCGCGAGCGGUGGAGGCAGCGGCGCGGGCAGCUGUCGUCGGCGCCGGCGUCGCUGCGUGCGUCUCCGGUGAACAGCGGUCACCUGUCGGUGGGCGGGUCGCUGGUGAAGGUGUCGACGUCGUCGGAGGAGAGCACGAUGGAGGAGCUGCAGAGCGCCAUCCAGGCCGCCAUCGCGCACUGCAAGAACUCCAUCGCCGUGGCCAAGCAGUAG